rfam:Stegodyphus mimosarum contig55106, whole genome shotgun sequence.
GCCUUCGUAGUGUAGUGGUCAACACGCUCGGCGGGUAUUCGAAAGGUCCGAGGUUCGACUCCCGGCGAGAGCA